rnacentral:rRNA from 1 species
ACUCCUACGGGAGGCAGCAGUGAGGGAUCUUCCGCAAUGGGCGAAAGCCUGACGCAGCCAUGCCGCGUGAAUGAUGAAGGUCUUAGGAUUGUAAAAUUCUUUCAGCAGGGACGAUAAUGACGGUACCUGCAGAAGAAGCCCCGGCUAACUACGUGCCAGCAGCCGCGGUAAGACGUAGGGCGCAAGCGUUGUCCGGAUUUAUUGGGCGUAAAGAGCUCGUAGGCGGCCUGUCGCGUCUGCUGUGAAAUCCCGGGGCUUAACCCCGGGCGUGCAGUGGAUACGGGCUGGCUGGAGGCAGGCAGGGGAGAACGGAAUUCCCGGUGUAGCGGUGAAAUGCGCAGAUAUCGGGAGGAACACCUGUGGCGAAAGCGGCUUACUAGACGACAACUGACGCUGAGGCGCGAAAGCUAGGGGAGCAAACAGGAUUAGAUACCCUGGUAGUCCUAGCCCUAAACGAUGAUCGCUUGGUGUGACAGGUACCCAAUCCUGUCGUGCCGGAGCUAACGCAUUAAGCAUUCCGCCUGGGGAGUACGGUCGCAAGGCUGAAACUUAAAGGAAUUGACG